GGAUUAGAUACCCUGGUAGUCCUAGCCGUAAACGAUGAGCACUAGGCAGGGGGGAUUCUGACAUCUUCCCUGCUGCAGCUAAUGUGUUAAGUGCUCCGCCUGGGGAGUAUGGUCGCAAGGCUAAAACUCAAAGGAAUUGACGGGGGCUCACACAAGCGGUGGAGCAUGUGGUUUAAUUCGAAGCAACGCGCAGAACCUUACCUGGGUUUGACAUGCUAGGAUUAGCUCUGUGAAAGCAGAGUGACGCGGGUAACCGUGGAACUAGCACAGGUGCUGCAUGGCUGUCGUCAGCUCGUGCUG
rnacentral:rRNA from 1 species